rnacentral:rRNA from 1 species
AUUGAACGCUGGCGGCAUGCUUUACACAUGCAAGUCGAACGGUAACAGGGUGCUUGCACCGCUGACGAGUGGCGAACGGGUGAGUAAUGCGUCGGAACGUGCCGAGUAGUGGGGGAUAACGCAGCGAAAGUUGUGCUAAUACCGCAUACGUACUGAGGUAGAAAGUGGGGGACCUUCGGGCCUCACGCUAUUCGAGCGGCCGACGUCUGAUUAGCUAGUAGGUGAGGUAAGAGCUCACCUAGGCGACGAUCAGUAGCGGGUCUGAGAGGAUGAUCCGCCACACUGGGACUGAGACACGGCCCAGACUCCUACGGGAGGCAGCAGUGGGGAAUUUUGGACAAUGGGCGCAAGCCUGAUCCAGCCAUGCCGCGUGUCUGAAGAAGGCCUUCGGGUUGUAAAGGACUUUUGUCAGGGAGGAAAUCCUAGUGGCUAAUAACGACUGGGGAUGACAGUACCUGAAGAAUAAGCACCGGCUAACUACGUGCCAGCCGCCGCGGUAAAAC